AAUCUUUGAACGCACAUUGCGCCCUUUGGUAUUCCGAAGGGCAUGCCUGUUCGAGCGUCAUUAUCACCCCUCAAGCCCUCGGCUUGGUGUUGGACGGUUUGGUGGAGACCCCCUUCGCGGGCUUCUACCCCUCCCAAAGACAAUGACGGCGGCCUCGUUGGACCCCCGGUACACUGAGUUCUUCACGGGACACGUAUCGGACACAUGGGUUUACGGGACACGGUCUGCCUCCCCUCAGGGAGAAUCUUCUUUUAUCAAGGUUGACCUCGGAUCAGGUAGGGAUACCCGCUGAACUUAAGCAUAUCAAUAA
rnacentral:rRNA from 1 species